GUAUGUGAAGGUGAUCUGACUGUGACAUCUGUCACCCCAUUGAUUGCCAGGGUUGAUUCAGCUCGCUUGAACCCUUCCUCCCUCACUGCUUCAUGUGUGGACCUCCUGAAGUUGCACACCAAAGAGGCUGACCUUCUCUGUUGAGGAAGACCAUUCUUUGGUUGAAGAAUAUGAAUAGCCACUAGGACUUACAAUAAACAAGCUCUCAGAAGUAAGACUGUUCUUUUUCUCU
rnacentral:snRNA from 1 species